UACAGAGGUCUCAAGCGUUGUUCGGAUUCAUUGGGCGUAAAGGGUGUGUAGGUGGCGCCGUAAGUCGGGUGUGAAAUCUCGGAGCUUAACUCCGAAACUGCAUUUGAUACUGCGGUGCUUGAGGACUGGAGAGGAGACUGGAAUUUACGGUGUAGCAGUGAAAUGCGUAGAGAUCGUAAGGAAGACCAGUGGCGAAGGCGGGUCUCUGGACAGUUCCUGACACUGAGGCACGAAGGCCAGGGGAGCAAACGGG
rnacentral:rRNA from 1 species